rnacentral:rRNA from 1 species
UGCCAGCAGCCGCGGUAAUACGGAGGGUCCAAGCGUUGUUCGGAAUCAUUGGGCGUAAAGCGGGUGUAGGUGGCUUGGUAAGUCGGAUGUGAAAGCCCAGGGCCCAACCCUGGAAUUGCAUUCGAAACUAUCAGGCUAGAGUCCCGGAGGGGAUGGCGGAAUUCCCGGUGUAGAGGUGAAAUUCGUAGAUAUCGGGAGGAACACCAAAGGCGAAGGCGGUGCUCUGGUGUAUACUGACAUUGAGGUACGAAAGUAUAGGUAGCGAACAGGAUUAGAUA